rnacentral:rRNA from 1 species
CCUACGGGUGGCAGCAGUGAGGAAUAUUGGUCAAUGGGCGAAAGCCUGAACCAGCCAAGUCGCGUGAGGGAUGAAUGUCCUAUGGAUUGUAAACUUCUUUUAUAAGGGAAUAAAGUGUGGCACGUGUCCUAUUUUGUAUGUACCAUAUGAAUAAGGAUCGGCUAACUCCGUGCCAGCAGCCGCGGUAAUACGGAGGAUCCGAGCGUUAUCCGGAUUUAUUGGGUUUAAAGGGAGCGUAGGUGGAUUGUUAAGUCAGUUGUGAAAGUUUGCGGCUCAACCGUAAAAUUGCAGUUGAAACUGGCAGUCUUGAGUACAGUAGAGGUGGGCGGAAUUCGUGGUGUAGCGGUGAAAUGCUUAGAUAUCACGAAGAACUCCGAUUGCGAAGGCAGUUCACUGGACUGCAACUGACACUGAGGCUCGAAAGUGUGGGUAUCAAACAGGAUUAGAUACCCGUGUAGUC